CACCCUUGCUUCACAGACUUUUGGCAGGUCAGCUGUCUCCAACAGAAAUGACACUUGACCAGCUUUUAACUCUCCUCUAUGACCAAAACUUUCCUUAAGGUUACUGUUCAAUAGAUCUUACUGUUAAAUUGGAAUCAAAAGUCAUUACAGAUCCAAGUUGGUCAAAAACAGACUCUUUUAAAAGACUACAUCCUGAAAAAGGUCAUGGAGACUUAAUCGGUAGCUGUCCAGAGGAUGAAGCUCUUACCUUGAGUGAUAAGUGCAUGGAGUAUUGGAUGAAUCUUUGCUGGAAAUCUGUCCCACUCAGUCACCAUUUUAAGUUUUUGCAGGAGUGGGUGGACUAGCUCUUAUUGCAGAAACUAUCAUGCUCUAUCCAGAAGUGAUUCAGGAGGGGAGUGCUCCAGCGAUAGCUUCUACCACUCAGGAAAAGCCAAAGGAUAGUGAUCAGUUUGAAAGGUUGACCAUAAGAACAGUCAGGUGAAUUGGUUUAUGAAGCUCCAGAAAGUAUUGCAGCUGAGCCUAUGCCUGUUAAGUGAGUGGUGCAAGCCACUUCGCCUAUACCUGCCUAUUCUUUGGCUGUUUUUGCAUUAUUUGUCUUCUGGACUAUGCUGAUGUGUUCCUAAAAGAGAGAAAGUGUGCCCAAUGCCAUCUUUGAUUGGUAUUGGGAGUUACAGUUGAUGGAGAAGGCAGUCACAUUCUGCAAUCUCCAUCAGCCAAUUCGCUUCCAACCCUUCCUUUCCACAUCUUUGCAACUUGUUUAGUGCUACUCCCUUGACAACUGAUGAUGGUGUGUUUCUGCAGUGGAUGGAACUGGAAAUUAGAACUUUGCCCCUAAUUCUUGUCUGUCUCUCAUCUCUGAGCCAUCAUGCACUGAGUUCCAAGCUCUAGCCUUAACCAAACUGAGCCACAGGUCUCAAAUUCUCAUAACCCCACAUCAACAGAAGAACAGCAGCUGAAUUGGGCCAAAGGGACUAGCUUUGGCACAGGUUCCACAGCAUCAGGAUGGGACAUGGAAUAAGCCUUAACUAAACAGAUGCUAGAAAAGGAGCAUGUGAUCUAUUUUUUGCAGGUUCUUGUGAGUUACAUAAACUCCAUGAGUAGUGCUGUAAAAGGGGAAGCCCAGGUGUCUCCAGAGAGCCAAGAACAGAAAAGCAGUGCUCUGCCCUCUGCUUCUGGAGCUUUUCAGUCAGUUCUGCCUCAUCCCAGUCAUGUACUAUGCAAUGACUCUGUUCUGGACAUGGCAAGAUAUGUGUAACUCUAUGGUGCUAGAGUUGCUCAAGGCCAUUGAUUCUUGUACCUCUAUAGUGCUGCUGUUGUUGCCUCUUUCUACAGAUAAGGGUGAAGAAUAGGAAGAAGGUCAGAAUGUCAGACUUCUGUUGGUACAUUAUGAGCCAAAAUAAGACCUGUGUUGGAACGCACACCAACCAUCUAAGAUCUGAAAAGAAAAAUGUUAAAACAGGAGUUAGUCCAGAUACACCUGAUCAAGAACCAGAAGGACUUACUCUUCUGAUCCCAGACAUCCAGAAGACAACUGAGAUUGUCUACACAGCCACCACCAAUCUCUGACAAGCAAAUCAAGAAAAAAAACAAAAAACAAAACAAAACAAAACAAAACAAAACAAAACAAAACAAACUAGGUGAAUACUCAAAGAAAGUGGCUAUGAAACCCAAACAUCUGUCAGAAUUAAAAUCACUUGAAGAAAAAUAUGUGGCUGUCAUGUAAAAAACUGCAGUUUAAUACAUUUGAAAUGAUUUCAGAAGAUGAUGAUGGAAAAUUUGGUUUUAAAGUAAAGUACCACUACAUGUCUCAGGUGAAAAAUGCCAAUGAUGCCAACAGUGCUGCCAGAGGCCACUGACUGGCUCAAGAAGUGGUGAGACUUUCAACCUCACUGUCUCUGUCAUUGUCUUCUACUGCAUUUUUACACUGUAACAAUGAGGAACGACGUGACAUCCUGAAGGUUCUGAUAACUGGGCCAGCAGACACCGUCAAUGCAAAUGUCUGCUUUGUGUUUGAUGUAUAUUUUCCUCAAGAUUUUCCUAGCUCACCUCCUCUUAUGAACCUAGAAAGAACUGGGGUUCAUAGCAUGCACUUCAAUCCCAACCUUUACAAGAUGGAAAAGUUUGUUUAAGCAUCCUGAAUAAGUUACAUGGAACACCAGAAGAGGAGUAGAAUCCAUAGACAUUAAGCUUUUUGCAAGUGUAGGUUUCUGUUCAGUCUCUAAUAUUAGUAGCUGAGCCUUCAAUAAACCAGGAUAAGAAUGGUCUAGAGGCACUCCCAGUAGCACACAGAGCUCUCUAGAUUAUGAUGGAAACAUUAGACAAGCAACAGUUAAAUGGGCAAUGCUAGUACAAAUCAGAAAUGCUUCACUGUGCUUUAAAGUUAUAUACAAACAUUUUUACUUGAAAAAAUGAGGUCAUGGCCCAGUGUGAGGAGUGGAUUGCAGACAAGCAGGAGUAGAGCAGUGAUAUGAGAGCAGGACAAUGUCUCACCAAGCAGCAGCUCUCAAGCUCCACACUGCUUAGCUCCGAGAAGAGUUACUGAAACUUCACUGCCUUGAAGGCUUAGAUCCAGACAUUGAGGAUGUCUCACUGGUGUACAGGGCCUCAGCUGGUGCUGAAGAAACUGACA
rnacentral:lncRNA from 1 species